rnacentral:tRNA from 1 species
CGGCAUAGCUCAGUUGGUAGAGCAACUGAUUUGUAAUCAGUGGGUCGGGAGUUCGAGUCUCUCUGCCGGC